rnacentral:rRNA from 1 species
CAGCAGCCGCGGUAAUACGUAGGUGGCAAGCGUUGUCCGGAAUUAUUGGGCGUAAAGCGCGCGCAGGCGGUUUCUUAAGUCUGAUGUGAAAGCCGCCCGGCUCAACCGGGGAGGGUCAUUGGAAACUGGGGAACUUGAGUGCAGAAGAGGAGAGUGGAAUUCCACGUGUAGCGGUGAAAUGCGUAGAGAUGUGGAGCAACACCAGUGGCGAAGGCGACUCUCUGGUCUGUAACUGACUGCUGAGGCGCGAAAGCGUGGGGAGCGAACAGGAUUAGAUACCCUGGUAGUCCACGCCCGUAAACGAUGAGUGGUAAGUGUUAGAGGGUUUCCGCCCUUUAGUGCUGCAGCAAACGCAUUAAGCACUCCGCCUGGGGAGUACGGUCGCAAGACUGAAACUCAAAGGAAUUGAGGGG